rnacentral:lncRNA from 1 species
AUCUAUGGUACCGGAACUCCGGUACUAUAGUCUUAUUUUCGAUUUUAAGGUGUUCAAAUUAACGAUCCACACUAUUAAAUAUGAUUUACUGUAUAUAAAGUUCUUAGGAAUAAAAUUUUAAUUUUUUUCAACAUCAUUUACUUAGUAAAUAAAUUAUGUCAAAAUGGGCGGUGAAAAUUGAAUAAUCUUUAAAAUUUGAAGAUAGGACUUUUAAUUCAAGAUCAAGAAUGUUAACCUUAAUCUAGAUAGUUUAAAGUAUUUUCUAUCAAAUUUUGAAGAAAUUUAAAUUCUUCUACACCGUUAAACUCCAAACUCACCAUAGUAGCCAUUGAAAAUUGACAACCUUGAAAUGGUUUCAUCAUAAAGUAAACUAUGUCAAAAAAAUAUAAAAUUUUAUUUCUGAAAACUUUAAAUAUCUUAGAUCAGUUUUAACAGUGUGGAUCAUUGAUUUGAACACUCUAAAAUCGAAAACAAGACUAUAGUACCGAAGCUCCGAUACUAUAGAUAGUAUAGGAGACUAGCUCUAUAUAUAUAUAUAUAUAUAUAUAUAGGCUGGUAUACUAUCGGAUGUACGGAGGCCUUCGUGCUACCAAGUUAUAUUUAAUGAUGCGGCUUUCAAAUCGACGAUCGACUCCGUUAGACUCGAUCUACACUAUUGAAAGUAUUUGGAAACUAAAUUUCAUAAUUUUUCGGCAUCAUUUGGCUGGUGACCAAAAGGUCUCAAAAUUGACAAUUUCAAGAAUAGAUGUGAUGCAUUUGUGAAUUUAACGGUGUAAAAUAAUUCAAAUCUGCUUAAAUUUUAUAUAUGUUUUUAAACUCCCA